UACGUAGGGGGCAAGCGUUGUCCGGAUUUAUUGGGCGUAAAGAGCGUGUAGGCGGCUUGGUAGGUCUGCUGUGAAAACUCGGGGCUCAACCCCGAGACGUCGGUGGAAACCACCUGGCUAGAGUCCGGAAGAGGAGAGUGGAAUUCCUGGUGUAGCGGUGAAAUGCGCAGAUAUCAGGAAGAAUAUCCGUGGCGAAGGCGGCUCUCUGGUACGGCGCUGACGCUGAGACGCGAAAGCGUGGGGAGCGAACAGG
rnacentral:rRNA from 1 species